GGCUAUAUCAUGUCGAAACACCAAUUCUCAUCCGAUCAUCGAAGUUAAGUAAUGUUGAGUCAGGUCAGUACCUAGAUGGGUGACCGCUUGGGAAUACCUGCUGC